GGCCUGGCCCCAGCGCCGGGGCGGGAGCGCGGCGGGAGCAGGUGGAGUGGCCGCGGGCGGUGGCGCUGCCAUGGCUCCGCGUCCCGGCCCAGAGCACCAGCCCCCACCUCGGCCCUCCUCGCCUGCCCCUGGGGCCCACCAGACUUUGGCCUUUGCCGGCGCCCCAGCCUAACCAGCCUCCCCUCGCUGUCCGGUUGGGAUUUGGGGGCUGAGCCGUCUGGGGUCCCGGGGCCAAUGCAGUGCCGCCUCCUCCGGGGCCUGGCGGGAGCCUUCCUCACCCUUCUGUGCACGGGGCUCCUCUCCCUGCGGUACCACUCGAGCCUGUCCCCCGACGGCGCGCGGGAGGCCCCCGCGCUGGGCCCGCCAAGCCCUCUGUCCCCUGAGCUGCAGUUGCGCGAUGUCUUCAUCACGGUCAAGACGACCCGAGCCUUCCACCACUCGCGCCUGGAGCUGCUGCUGGACACGUGGGUCUCCAGGACCAGGGAACAGACCUUUGUCUUCACCGACAGCCCAGAUGAAGGCCUCCAGGAGAGACUGGGGUCCCACCUCGUGGUCACCAACUGCUCCGCUGAGCACAGCCACCCCGCCCUGUCCUGCAAGAUGGCUGCUGAGUUCGACACCUUCUUGGCCAGCGGGCUGAGGUGGUUCUGCCACGUGGAUGACGACAACUAUGUGAACCCAAGGGCACUGCUGAAGCUGCUAAAAACCUUCCCACAGACCCGCGACGUCUACCUAGGCCGGCCCAGCCUGAACCGGCCUAUCCGCGCUUCGGAGCCCAGGCCGCACAACCGCACGAGGCUGGUACAGUUCUGGUUUGCCACUGGGGGCGCUGGCUUUUGCAUCAACCGCAAACUGGCUUUGAAGAUGGCCCCGUGGGCCAGUGGCUCCCGCUUCGUGGAAACAGCCGCGCUCAUCCGGCUGCCCGACGACUGCACCGUGGGCUACAUUGUCGAGUGCAAGCUGGGUGGCCACCUGCAGCCCAGCCCCCUCUUCCACUCGCACCUGGAGACCCUGCAGCUGCUGGGGGCCGCCCAGCUCCCAGAGCAGACGUGGCCGGGAAAGCCCCUGGGGUCCUCCGCCCAACAGCUCGAGUCAGAGUCCUUUGGUGGCAGAGGACAGAAACGCAACCCAGGCUGGUCAAACAAACAAGUACGCUUAUGGGCUCGCGUCCCCGAGAAGCCGCGGGCUGGCUUGCCAGGCGGGGCUGAGUCUGCCUGCUCACGCUGUGCCCGCUGUCACCUGUCUUCCCGACACUGGGCUCACCCUCAGGCAGGCUCGCCCCUCAUGCUGGCGGGGUGGCAGCCCCAGGGUUCCACCGCACCCGCCAGAGGACAGCUCCCCCUUCCGCCCAGUCCCGGGGCUGGUGCUCGUCGGUUGGAAGGCCUGCUUGGGUCACACCUGUCUCCUACCAGGGCCAAGACUUAGUGUUGAUUCUGCCGGCAGGGUCGGUCCCAAUGGGACUGCAGGGCCUGAAGCCAGGAAGAGGGGGACAGAUUUGGGACAACCGAAACCAGGUACCCUAACGGUUGGGAUUUCCAGAAUCCUCACUGUGCCAGGCACCAGGCCGGUGGCUUUAUCUGCUGUACUCUCUGGUUCCUUACAACGUUCACAUGAGGAAUGUUCACUGACAUUCCCAUUCUGUAGGUAGGGAAACUGAGGCCAGAGAGCUGAACUAACCAUGGCACGGGGCAUGAAGGGGAUUUGAGCCCUGCCUGGAUGGCCCCUAAGCCUACAGUCUUUAACCGCUGCGCUCUGCUGUCCCUCCACAAGGGGCAUCAUCUCAUGUCCUCACUGCGAGUAGAGUGACCUGAAACUCCUGGAGGAGAGGGAGGGCCAUGGCCCCGCCGUGAGUCUCAGGAAACCUCUGUCCAGGCAUGGAAUUUGCUGGAACUCACUUCCCUUUUCGCGACUCAGUUUCCUAGUCUGUAGGCAAGGGACUCAUUCCAGCCGCACAGGUAGGGUGGGCUGUUGGGCACCCAAAUGGAGUCCGGGCGUGGCCGUGCCCUACAAGCUCGAAGAGCCUUGUGGAGUGGGGUGGGCUCCUCCGCGAAGCUCUCAGGGCUAAGGGUGGGGUUUCAGGUACAGAGGCAGGCUCUGCGGGCCCCUCACGAUGUCUUAUGUGCCUUCCCUGCUUCUGCGCAAACACUGCCCCCUGGUGGGGUCCCCUGAGGGACACCCGGCCAACUUGAACUUCCUGCCCCGCUUUUCUCUGCCCAGGUCACCCUCAGCUAUGGCGUCUUUGAGGGGAAGCUCAAUGUCAUUAAGCUAGAAGGCCCCUUCUCCCCUGAGGAGGACCCUUCCAGGUUUCGUUCCCUCCACUGUCUCCUCUACCCAGAUACUCCUUGGUGCCCACAGCUGGUGGCCAGAU